AAGGGAGUCGGCAGGGCUUCCUCGCGCGAGGGGGUCUGUGAAAUUUCCAAAACCGGUUCUGGUUAGCUACCAGACUCUCUUU
rnacentral:tRNA from 1 species